UGGCGGACGGGUGAGUAACGCGUGGAAAACCUGCCGUAUACUGGGGGAUAACACUUAGAAAUAGGUGCUAAUACCGCAUAAGCGCACAGCUUCGCAUGAAGCGGUGUGAAAAACUCUGGUGGUAUACGAUGGUUCCGCGUCUGAUUAGCUAGUUGGUGGGGUAAUGGCCUACCAAGGCAACGAUCAGUAGCCGGCCUGAGAGGGCGAACGGCCACAUUGGGACUGAGACACGGCCCAAACUCCUACGGAAGGCAGCAG
rnacentral:rRNA from 1 species